rnacentral:rRNA from 1 species
UACCAGCACCCCGAGUGGUCGGGACGAUUAUUGGGCCUAAAGCAUCCGUAGCCGGUUUUACAAGUCCUCCGUUAAAUCCAGCUGCUUAACAGAUGGGCUGCGGAGGAUACUAUAAGACUAGGAGGCAGGAGAGGCAAGCGGUAUUCAGUGGGUAGGGGUAAAAUCCGUUGAUCCAUUGAAGACCACCAGUGGCGAAGGCGGCUUGCCAGAAUGCGCUCGACGGUGAGGGAUGAAAGCUGGGGGAGCAAGCCGG